CACGUAGGGGGCAAGCGUUGUCCGGAUUUAUUGGGCGUAAAGAGCUCGUAGGCGGCUUAGUAAGUCGGGUGUGAAACCUCCAGGCUCAACCUGGAGACGCCACCCGAUACUGCUGUGGCUAGAAUCCGGUAGGGGAGCGUGGAAUUCCUGGUGUAGCGGUGAAAUGCGCAGAUAUCAGGAGGAACACCAGCGGCGAAGGCGGCGCUCUGGGCCGAUACUGACGCUGAGGAGCGAAAGCGUGGGGAGCGAACAGG
rnacentral:rRNA from 1 species